GGUCAAGUGAAGAAGCGCAUACGGUGGAUGCCUUGGCAGUCAGAGGCGAUGAAAGACGUGGUAGCCUGCGAAAAGCUUCGGGGAGUCGGCAAACAGACUGUGAUCCGGAGAUGUCUGAAUGGGGGAACCCAGCCAUCACAAGAUGGUUAUCUUACACUGAAUACAUAGGUGUAAGAGGCGAACCAGGGGAACUGAAACAUCUAAGUACCCUGAGGAAAAGAAAUCAACCGAGAUUCCCUUAGUAGUGGCGAGCGAACGGGGACCAGCCCUUAAGUUGUAUUGAGAUUAGCGGAACGCUCUGGAAAGUGCGGCCAUAGUGGGUGAUAGCCCUGUACGCGAAAAUCCCUUUGCAAUGAAAUCGAGUAGGACGGGGCACGAGAAACCUUGUCUGAAUAUGGGGGGACCAUCCUCCAAGGCUAAAUACUACUGACUGACCGAUAGUGAACCAGUACCGUGAGGGAAAGGCGAAAAGAACCGCGGAGAGCGGAGUGAAAUAGAUCCUGAAACCGUAUGCGUACAAGCAGUGGGAGCCCACUUUGUUGGGUGACUGCGUACCUUUUGUAUAAUGGGUCAGCGACUUAUUUUCAGUGGCGAGCUUAACCGAAUAGGGGAGGCGUAGCGAAAGCGAGUCUUAAUAGGGCGUCUAGUCGCUGGGAAUAGACCCGAAACCGGGCGAUCUAUCCAUGGGCAGGUUGAAGGUUGGGUAACACUAACUGGAGGACCGAACCGACUACCGUUGAAAAGUUAGCGGAUGACCUGUGGAUCGGAGUGAAAGGCUAAUCAAGCUCGGAGAUAGCUGGUUCUCCUCGAAAGCUAUUUAGGUAGCGCCUCAUGUAUCACUGUAGGGGGUAGAGCACUGUUUCGGCUAGGGGGUCAUCCCGACUUACCAAACCGAUGCAAACUCCGAAUACCUACAAGUGCCGAGCAUGGGAGACACACGGCGGGUGCUAACGUCCGUCGUGAAAAGGGAAACAACCCAGACCGUCAGCUAAGGUCCCAAAGUCAUGGUUAAGUGGGAAACGAUGUGGGAAGGCUUAGACAGCUAGGAGGUUGGCUUAGAAGCAGCCACCCUUUAAAGAAAGCGUAAUAGCUCACUAGUCGAGUCGGCCUGCGCGGAAGAUGUAACGGGGCUCAAACCAUGCACCGAAGCUACGGGUAUCACCUUUGGUGAUGCGGUAGAGGAGCGUUCUGUAAGCCUGUGAAGGUGAGUUGAGAAGCUUGCUGGAGGUAUCAGAAGUGCGAAUGCUGACAUGAGUAACGACAAUGGGUGUGAAAAACACCCACGCCGAAAGACCAAGGUUUCCUGCGCAACGUUAAUCGACGCAGGGUUAGUCGGUCCCUAAGGCGAGGCUGAAAAGCGUAGUCGAUGGAAAACAGGUUAAUAUUCCUGUACUUCUGGUUAUUGCGAUGGAGGGACGGAGAAGGCUAGGCCAGCCUGGCGUUGGUAGUCCAGGUUUAAGGUGGUAGGCUGAGAUCUUAGGUAAAUCCGGGAUCUUAAGGCCGAGAGCUGAUGACGAGUGUUCUUUUAGAACAUGAAGUGGUUGAUGCCAUGCUUCCAAGAAAAGCUUCUAAGCUUCAGGUAACCAGGAACCGUACCCCAAACCGACACAGGUGGUUGGGUAGAGAAUACCAAGGCGCUUGAGAGAACUCGGGUGAAGGAACUAGGCAAAAUGGCACCGUAACUUCGGGAGAAGGUGCGCCGGUGAGGGUGAAGCAUUUACUGCGUAAGCCCACGCCGGUCGAAGAUACCAGGCCGCUGCGACUGUUUAUUAAAAACACAGCACUCUGCAAACACGAAAGUGGACGUAUAGGGUGUGACGCCUGCCCGGUGCCGGAAGGUUAAUUGAUGGGGUUAGCGCAAGCGAAGCUCUUGAUCGAAGCCCCGGUAAACGGCGGCCGUAACUAUAACGGUCCUAAGGUAGCGAAAUUCCAUGUCGGGUAAGUUCCGACCUGCACGAAUGGCGUAACGAUGGCGGCGCUGUCUCCACCCGAGACUCAGUGAAAUUGAAAUCGCUGUGAAGAUGCAGUGUAUCCGCGGCUAGACGGAAAGACCCCGUGAACCUUUACUAUAGCUUUGCACUGGACUUUGAAUUUGCUUGUGUAGGAUAGGUGGGAGGCUUUGAAGCGUGGACGCCAGUCUGCGUGGAGCCAACCUUGAAAUACCACCCUGGCAACUUUGAGGUUCUAACUCAGGUCCGUUAUCCGGAUCGAGGACAGUGUAUGGUGGGUAGUUUGACUGGGGCGGUCUCCUCCUAAAGAGUAACGGAGGAGUACGAAGGUGCGCUCAGACCGGUCGGAAAUCGGUCGUAGAGUAUAAAGGCAAAAGCGCGCUUGACUGCGAGACAGACACGUCGAGCAGGUACGAAAGUAGGUCUUAGUGAUCCGGUGGUUCUGUAUGGAAGGGCCAUCGCUCAACGGAUAAAAGGUACUCCGGGGAUAACAGGCUGAUACCGCCCAAGAGUUCAUAUCGACGGCGGUGUUUGGCACCUCGAUGUCGGCUCAUCACAUCCUGGGGCUGAAGCCGGUCCCAAGGGUAUGGCUGUUCGCCAUUUAAAGUGGUACGCGAGCUGGGUUUAGAACGUCGUGAGACAGUUCGGUCCCUAUCUGCCGUGGACGUUUGAGAUUUGAGAGGGGCUGCUCCUAGUACGAGAGGACCGGAGUGGACGAACCUCUGGUGUUCCGGUUGUCACGCCAGUGGCAUUGCCGGGUAGCUAUGUUCGGAAAAGAUAACCGCUGAAAGCAUCUAAGCGGGAAACUUGCCUCAAGAUGAGAUCUCACUGGAACCUAGAGUUCCCUGAAGGGCCGUCGAAGACUACGACGUUGAUAGGUUGGGUGUGUAAGCGCUGUGAGGCGUUGAGCUAACCAAUACUAAUUGCCCGUGAGGCUUGACCAU
rnacentral:rRNA from 1 species